rnacentral:pre_miRNA from 1 species
CUUAUACUCCCUCCGUCCGGAAAUACUUGUCGUCAAAAUAGAUAAAAAGGGAUGUAUCUAGACGUAUUUUAGUUCUAGAUACAUCUCUUUUUAUCCAUUUUGAUGACAAGUAUUUUCGGACGGAGGGAGUAGUAU